CCUACGGGAGGCAGCAGUGAGGAAUAUUGGUCAAUGGGCGCGAGCCUGAACCAGCCAAGUCGCGUGAGGGCAGACGGUCCUAUGGAUUGUAAACCUCUUUUGUCGGGGAGCACAAGACGCCACGCGUCGCGUUCCGAGAGUACCCGAAGAAAAAGCAUCGGCUAACUCCGUGCCAGCAGCCGCGGUAAUACGGAGGAUGCGAGCGUUAUCCGGAUUUAGUGGGUUUAAGGGGUGCGCAGGCGGAAGCACAAGUCCACGGUAAAAUUGAGAGGCUCAACCUGUUCGAGCCGUUGAAACUGGUGUUCUUGAGUGAGCGAGAAGUAUGCGGAAUGCGGGGUGUAGCGGUGAAAUGCAUAGAUAUCACGCAGAACUCCGAUGGCGAAGGCAGAAUACCGGCGCUCAACUGACGCUCAUGCACGAAAGUGUGGGUAUCGAACAGGAUUAGAUACCCUAGUAGUC
rnacentral:rRNA from 1 species